rnacentral:siRNA from 1 species
CACGGAUUUACGUUUUUGGCGGG